rfam:Chloroflexi bacterium RBG_16_56_8 RBG_16_scaffold_29331, whole genome shotgun sequence.
GGGCCGGUAGCUCAAUUGGCAGAGCAACAGCCUUUUAAGCUGUGGGUUCAGGGUUCGAUUCCCUGCCGGCUCA